rnacentral:rRNA from 1 species
AGCGAACGCUGGCGGCGUGCUUAACACAUGCAAGUCGAACGUGAAAGGACUUCGGUCUGAGUAAAGUGGCGUACGGGUGAGUAACACGUGGGUAAUCUACCUCAAAGCCUGGAAUAACCUGCCGAAAGGCGGGCUAAUACUAGAUAGAACGCGUUUAUUAUAAUGAUAGACACGGGAAAGGGAGCCCGAAAGGGCCUUCACUUUGAGAUGAGCUCGCGUCCCAUUAGCUAGUUGGGAGGGUAAUGGCCUACCAAGGCAAUGAUGGGUAGCUGGUUUGAGAGGAUGAUCAGCCACACUUGAACUGAAACACGGUCCAGACUCCGACGGGAGGCAGCAGUGGGGAAUCUUGCGCAAUGGACGAAAGUCUGACGCAGCCACGCCGCGUGAGUGAAGAAGGCCUUCGGGUUGUAAAGCUCUGUCGGGCGGGACAAAAACCUAGUAGGUUAAUAGCCUAUUAGCUUGAUGGUACCGCUAAAGGAAGCACCGGCUAACUUCGUGCCAGCCGCCGCAGUAA